UGCAGGGAGCAUGGUGGGGGCGACAGGAGUGAGAACAAAUGUGGGCAGACUCUUCCAGAAGUUCGAGGAUUUGGGAGGGGAAGGACUGCAGAGAAAGAGGAAUGUUCAAAACUUGCCACCACAGAGGCUUGAGGAAGAGUUCCUUGAAGAAGAGGAGGGUCAGGGGGACCGCACCCAGCCGUGUUAUCACAGCUGCUGUGGGGAAGAUGGGCAUAAAAAAGGGCUGGUAAACUCAGCAGUUGGUGGU